rnacentral:tRNA from 1 species
GGAUGAUGGUAGUUCAGUGGUAGAAUUCUUACCUUCCAUGCAAGAGAUCCAGGUUCAAUUCCUGGCCAAUGCA